rnacentral:rRNA from 1 species
AGCGAACGCUGGCGGCGUGCCUAACACAUGCAAGUCGAACGUGAAAGGGAGCAAUCCCAAGUAAAGUGGCGUACGGGUGAGUAACACGUAGGUAAUCUACCCCAGAAUCUGGAAUAACCGGCCGAAAGGCUGGCUAAUACUGGAUAGAGCGACGGAAUCCGUAAUUGGGUUUUUCGGGAAAGGGAGCCUGUAAAAAGGCCUUCGUUCUGGGAUGAGCCUGCGUCCCAUCAGCUAGUUGGUGAGGUAAAAGCUUACCAAGGCAAUGACGGGUAGCUGGUCUGAGAGGACGAUCAGCCACACUGGGACUGAAACACGGUCCAGACUCCUACGGGAGGCAGCAGUGGGGAAUCUUGCGCAAUGGACGAAAGUCUGACGCAGCAACGCCGCGUGAGUGAAGAAGGCCUUCGGGUUGUAAAGCUCUGUCGAGUGGGACGAAAAUGCUUGGAGUUCACAGCUCCAGGAACUGACGGUACCACUAAAGGAAGCACCGGCUAACUCCGUG